ACGUAGUUCUAACGAAUUAGUUACUAGGAUUGGAGCUUUUUGAGCCAUAGCAUAUACGUAUAUUUCUUGGGCUGAAUGGAUCGGACCCAGUCAAGUGCAUUCACGCACAGGACCUUGCCCUCACGCCGUCACGCACACUCUCCUAUCGUCCCCACUUCUUCGUACGCACGCGACACCCAGCACGCCUCCGUGAUGCUGCCGCCGCCACCUGCCUUUCCGGCCGCCGCCGACCAAGUCCGUCGCCGCCGCACGCCGGCCCAGCUCCGUCUCGCUGCUCUCUACCGCCUCCUCCCGGUCGAUUUGAUCCACGCGGUCUUAAUCACCCGCGCCCAACCAGGGAACCCUAGCUCGGCGUUGAUGGUUUUGGCCGCCGCCGGCCUCGGCGGGUACCGUCGUGUGUCGGUGUGGCUCCGCCAUUGGCCUCUCCUUCAGAAGCUGCCGCCACGACGCCGACCUGCGCUCAUACACAGCCCUGUGGCUAACCCUAGCUUGCUCCGGCUAGGUCGCCGACACGGUGCUCGCGUUCCCGCUCCUCCGGCUAUCUCUCCUUGGCGAACUGGACCUCUUCUUUGAGCGCCCCGAGCCCCAGCUCGGCUCUGCCAUGCCCGGCUGCUCUGAUUCCUCAAGUGGUGGUGUCCUGGUGGUGUGCUGUUGGGGGUGGGGUGCUCGUGGUGGUGUUGCUGCUGCCUGUGCGGCUGUGUUGACGGUGAACUGGUGGUGUGGUGGCUACUUCGUCCUCGACGCCGGCAGGAUGGUGCCGUAGGCGCAACCUCGGCUGGAUGGUGCCGCGGACGCAACCCCGGCGUCGAUCUCGUCUGCACCUCUACAUCAUGGUACACAAGAAUAUGAAGAUGUGGAAUAGUUUAGGUUUUCUUGUUAUUUCUUUGUACUCUUCUUUUUCUUUUGUAUCUUGUAAAUAAUUGAAUUGUAAUAAGUUUUAAAUUGUUUAUUUGUUAUGAAUUAUCAAAAUGUGUUUGCCCUUA